rnacentral:rRNA from 1 species
CAUGCAAGUCGAACGGUAGCACAGAGAGCUUGCUCUCGGGUGACGAGUGGCGGACGGGUGAGUAAUGUCUGGGAAACUGCCUGAUGGAGGGGGAUAACUACUGGAAACGGUAGCUAAUACCGCAUAACGUCGCAAGACCAAAGAGGGGGACCUUCGGGCCUCUUGCCAUCAGAUGUGCCCAGAUGGGAUUAGCUAGUAGGUGGGGUAACGGCUCACCUAGGCGACGAUCCCUAGCUGGUCUGAGAGGAUGACCAGCCACACUGGAACUGAGACACGGUCCAGACUCCUACGGGAGGCAGCAGUGGGGAAUAUUGCACAAUGGGCGCAAGCCUGAUGCAGCCAUGCCGCGUGUAUGAAGAAGGCCUUCGGGUUGUAAAGUACUUUCAGCGGGGAGGAAGGUGUUGCGGUUAAUAACCGCAGCAAUUGACGUUACCCGCAGAAGAAGCACCGGCUAACUCCGUGCCAGCAGCCGCGGUAAUACGGAGGGUGCAAGCGUUAAUCGGAAUUACUGGGCGUAAAGCGCACGCAGGCGGUCUGUCAAGUCGGAUGUGAAAUCCCCGGGCUCAACCUGGGAACUGCAUUCGAAACUGGCAGGCUAGAGUCUUGUAGAGGGGGGUAGAAUUCCAGGUGUAGCGGUGAAAUGCGUAGAGAUCUGGAGGAAUACCGGUGGCGAAGGCGGCCCCCUGGACAAAGACUGACGCUCAGGUGCGAAAGCGUGGGGAGCAAACAGGAUUAGAUAC